rnacentral:rRNA from 1 species
UACGUAGGGUGCGAGCGUUGUCCGGAAUUAUUGGGCGUAAAGAGCUCGUAGGCGGUCUGUCGCGUCGGUCGUGAAAACUUGGGGCUUAACCCUGAGCUUGCGUUCGAUACGGGCAUGACUGGAGUUCGGUAGGGGAGACUGGAAUUCCGUGGUGUAGCAGUGAAAUGCGUAGAGAUGCGGAGGAACACCGAUGGCGAAGGCAGCCCCCUGGGCCAACACUGACGCCUCAGGCACGAAAGCGUGGGGAGCAAACAGG